GAGUUUGAUCACGGCUCAGAUUGAACGCUGGCGGUAUGCUUAACACAUGCAAGUCGAACGGUAACAGGCCUUCGGGCGCUGACGAGUGGCGGACGGGUGAGUAACGCGUAGGAAUCUGCCUUAUAGUGGGGGACAACGUGGGGAAACCCACGCUAAUACCGCAUACGCCCUAUGGGGGAAAGCGGGGGCUCGUAAGACCUCGCGCUAUGAGAUGAGCCUGCGUUAGAUUAGCUAGUUGGUAGGGUAAAGGCCUACCAAGGCGACGAUCUAUAGCUGGUCUGAGAGGACGAUCAGCCACACUGGGACUGAGACACGGCCCAGACUCCUACGGGAGGCAGCAGUGGGGAAUAUUGGACAAUGGGCGCAAGCCUGAUCCAGCAAUACCGCGUGUGUGAAGAAGGCCCUAGGGUUGUAAAGCACUUUCAAUGGGGAGGAAAACCUGCCGGUCAAUACCCGGUAGCUUGACAUUACCUAUAGAAGAAGCACCGGCUAACUCCGUGCCAGCAGCCGCGGUAAUACGGAGGGUGCGAGCGUUAAUCGGAAUUACUGGGCGUAAAGCGUGCGUAGGCGGUUCGUUAAGUCAGAUGUGAAAGCCCUGGGCUCAACCUGGGAACUGCAUUUGAAACUGGCGAACUCGAGUUGAGUAGAGGGGAGUGGAAUUUCAGGUGUAGCGGUGAAAUGCGUAGAUAUCUGAAGGAACACCAGUGGCGAAGGCGACUCCCUGGACUCAAACUGACGCUGAGGUACGAAUGCGUGGGUAGCAAACAGGAUUAGAUACCCUGGUAGUCCACGCCGUAAACGAUGUCAACUAGCCGUUGGUUCUAUAUACAGGAUUAGUGGCGCAGCUAACGCAUUAAGUUGACCGCCUGGGGAGUACGGCCGCAAGGUUAAAACUCAAAUGAAUUGACGGGGGCCCGCACAAGCGGUGGAGCAUGUGGUUUAAUUCGAUGCAACGCGAAGAACCUUACCCGGGCUUGAACUGCAAGUGAUCGACGGUGAAAGCCGUUUCCCGCAAGGGCACUUGUAGAGGUGCUGCAUGGCUGUCGUCAGCUCGUGUCGUGAGAUGUUGGGUUAAGUCCCGCAACGAGCGCAACCCUUGUCUGCUGUUGCCAUCAGGUUAAGCUGGGCACUCUGCGGAGACUGCCGGUGACAAACCGGAGGAAGGUGGGGAUGACGUCAAGUCCGCAUGGCCUUUAUGUCCGGGGCUACACACGUGCUACAAUGGGCGGCACAAACCGUUGCGAUCUCGCAAGAGGGAGCUAAUCGGACAAAGCCGUUCUCAGUUCGGAUUGUAGGCUGCAACUCGCCUGCAUGAAGUUGGAAUCGCUAGUAAUCGCGGAUCAGCACGCCGCGGUGAAUACGUUCCCGGGCCUUGUACACACCGCCCGUCACAUCACGAAAGCUGGCUGUACUAGAAGUCGUCGCGCCAACCCGCAAGGGAGGCAAGCGCCUAAGGUAUGGUUAGUGAUUGGGGUGAAGUCGUAACAAGGUA
rnacentral:rRNA from 1 species